UACAUCCGCGCCGCCGAGGUGCGCGCGCUGCUGCGCGACCUGCACGCCGUCUCCGGCUCCGGCCGCGCCGUCAUGCUCAAGGACUACCUGUCCACGGUGAGCCUGAACGUGAUCACCCGCAUGGUGCUCGGCAAGAAGUACCUGGACAAGGAGGUGGCUGCCGGUGGGUCUUCCGUGACCACCCCCGAGGAGUUCAAGUGGAUGCUCGACGAGCUGUUCCUGCUCAACGGCGUGCUCAACAUCGGAGACUCCAUCCCGUGGCUCGACUGGAUGGACCUGCAGGGGUACAUUAAGAGGAUGAAGAAGCUCGGCAAGAUGUUCGACCGGUUCCUGGAGCACGUCGUGGAGGAGCACAACCAGCGGCGGUUGCGCGAGGGGAAGAGCUUCGUCGCCAAGGACAUGGUCGACGUGCUGCUGCAGAUCGCCGACGACCCUACCCUGGAGGUCGAGCUGAACAGGGAGAGCGUCAAGGCUUUCACUCAGGUGAGUUGUUGUCCGAGUAGGAUUCUGGUUCUCCUGGUUCUGUUUUACUGGAAUAUACAUCGGAAAACAUUAUCCAUUCAGAUCAGUACUUUGUGUAGCUUUGGUCUAAUAAGUAAUAACCUUGUCAACCAACUUUAAAGAAUCAUUUGGGCAUGUGGCACGCGCAGGACCUCAUCGCCGGCGGAACGGAGAGCUCGGCAGUCACCGUCGAGUGGGCCAUCUCAGAGCUCCUCAAGAAACCCGAGGUCUUCGCCAAGGCCACGGAGGAGCUGGACCGUGUGAUCGGCCGCGGCCGCUGGGUCACGGAGAAGGACAUUCCCCAGCUCCCGUACGUGGACGCCAUCGUCAAGGAGACGAUGCGGCUGCACCCGGUGGCGCCCAUGCUGGUGCCUCGCCUGUCCCGCGAGGACACGACCGUGGCCGGCUACGACAUCCCCGCCGGCACGCGCGUGCUCGUCAGCGUGUGGUCCAUCGGCCGCGACCCGACGCUGUGGGACACGCCGGAACAAUUCAUGCCGGAGCGAUUCCUCGGCAGCAAGCUCGACGUGAAGGGGCAAGAUUACGAGCUGCUGCCGUUCGGAUCCGGCCGGCGGAUGUGCCCCGGGUACAGCCUUGGCUUGAAGGUCAUCCAGGUGAGCCUUGCCAACCUGCUGCACGGUUUUGCGUGGAGCCUCCCAGAUGGCCUCACCAAGGAGGAGCUGAACAUGGAGGAGAUCUUCGGCCUGUCCACGCCGCGCAAGUUCCCGCUCGAGGCCGUCGUCGAGCCCAAGCUGCCAGCACACCUCUACGCCGAGGCUUGAUCGAUGCGUUUGUCUUCAGUAGAGGCGUGGUCCUUGCGUUCCUGCCCAGUGUCCACUUGCUGCUUGCUUUUUUGUUGCUGUUUUUUUUUGAAAGAAGCUUUUUUGUUGCUGUUGCUCUACUUUGUAAGUUCUUUUCAAGGUUUGCGUGAUGUAUGGCCUUAUGACGACUAUAGCGGAAAUGCGGAAUAACUUCCCUACACAUUGCAGUCAUCUCCGAUGUUCGUAAGUCUCUUUGGCCGCUAUUUUGCAACCUUGAUAAUAACUUCUCCAUAGAUAAAGCUAUUUUCUACCACGGAUAUCUAUCCAUGAUUGAAAAUAAUUUUAGGCUGCAAUCUUGACACGAUCCGUCGUAGCAACAUUUCCUAGACUUGAUAAGCUGUAAAACAUAAAUCAGCUAAAUCUUACCGGGACCAAACAAUAAAACCGCUAGCACCGACCCAAACGUCACACCACCACCAUCAUAUACCUAAACCACAAAAAAGAAAAAACAAAUGAUGCGCCUAAGCUUGGAAAUCAGGACAUGUUUCUCAGAGCAGGGAGCAUGCAUAUGGAGUAGUGUCUAUAUUGGUAUUGGAUAAUGAACGAUUGAAACAAUUGUAUUUGAUAUAUCACGAAUGACGACGAGUCACAAGGGUGACAAUGGAAGUAAUUUUACUUCACCGCGGAAGCCAUCCAAUUUUGAUAUAUCAUGCAUCACAAGGGUGACAAUGACAGUAGUUUUACUGCACCGUGGAAGCCAUCCAGCAAGUUCCAAACAAGACUAAUAAAAAUCACAUUUGAGUGUGCAAGAUGUGGACAUAUUUUUGAAGGGCCGUUAUUGAGCAAUGAUAAAAAUAACAAAAGCUAGAUGAUUUUUUUUCUAGGCUCCAUACCUGAUACUUGAAUAAAUGUAAAUACAAUAAGGAGAUCCGGUCGAGUAAGUACCUAUAUGAAUGGUGGCUAUUCAGUAUGCACACUUUGUUCCACCUUUUUACAUUAUUGUGGCAUGAAUAUCUCAUACUCCUGGCCUAUGAACUGUUCAUGCCUUACUAACAUCAUUGGAUAUCACUAAACAUAAUUUGACUCUGAUUAUUUCAAGAAUGUUGUGUCAAGAUAAAAAAAAGGAUAAACAAAUUGAUAUAAUAUAUUUGAACCCUCCAAUCAUCAUUGUUGAUCUUAUAAAAGAAUAUGUGGGUAUAAUCAGGGUUUUAUGGGAAAGACUAUGUAAAAUACAACGAGAGGACUAAUCACAGAUUCUUAUACACUUUAAUUGUUAUGCUACCCAAAUAGAAUAUGGUCCGGUUCCAACUCUCUCAUGUUGAUGAAUGUCAUAUUACCUUUCAAUCAUCAUUGCUGAAGACUGAAUAAAUUGUCAGAAAACACAAAAAGAGUAACUACAUAGCGAGAAAACACCAAUACUGUUUACGAUUGAUUAAGCCAUCAACUUUACGUGAUGAUGUUCUUUCGCUUUGAGUACAUGUCCACUUGUCUCUGUACAUGAUACUUAAACUUGUAUGAUCCUAUUCUUGAACCGUAGUCCUUGUAAUCAUUAUACUCGACUUUUUUUAUAUGUGCUUAAUUCAGCCGAGGUAAAUGUAUUUUGUUUGAUUUUGCCUAUUAAAUAAUGAAAGUAUAAACAAUUUUCAUAAAACAAUAAUCACGGAUUAAAGAAACGUCUGUACAUGUGCAAUAUUUCCGAUGUGUAAAAUUAAGAAGACGUGUUUUAUAUUAAAUACAAUAGCAAGUUAUUUGCCAAUUUACCAAUUUAAUGUAGGUUUCCAUGAGAUAGGGAUGCAAGUGGGGCAGAUUGCGGGCUACCCGCACCCGUCCGCACGAGCCGCAAUCCUAUAUGCGGGAUUAAGCGGCAGCCCGCGUACGUCCGCCAGAUUGUUGCGGGCUCUGCGGCCACCCGCGUGACCGCUGGCACCGCGAAGUGAGUCUUCUGUCGCGGUGUUGCCGUGUUCCUUCUGUUUCCUUGGUUCUAGAAUCGGCAUCGUAACCUCUGCUAUUGUGGUCACCUAGUUCACUUGGUUAUUCAGGUUUGUCUUGCAAUGCUGAAAUUCCAUUGAAGCUGAAGUAGGGUCCUGAAAUUUAGAGGAGCAGCCACGCAAGAUUCUGACACUGCCAUUCUCAGACCUUCGCAUGAACUCUGUUGUCCUUGGUUGUAUGAUAUUUAGAAUUUUAGAUAGUGUUGUAAUGUUGUUGGAUUCGCACCACAUAUAGUAGAGAUCAAAUCUCAAUUCUCAAGCGUGUAACUUGCCACUCGACCAGGGUCGUCGCUGGGAAGCACGGCGUCCUGCCCGAUCGGCCUCCACUCCACCACAAACUCCCCUCCCACGCACAGGCCAUAGAUGCUGUGUGUGCCGGCGAGUACUCGGAGAAGGCACAGGAGCUCGGAGAUGGAGGCUUGUUGGCGUGCGCGGGUCCCUCGUAGCGAAUGCCUAGAAUUAAGUUGUGCCAUCGCUGAUGACAAAAUCGGAGGAUGCGACGCGCGGUGUGGAGAGCAGGAGGUCCAUGGUCAAGCUAUCGAGGUGCAUGACCGGUUGUUGCCGUGUUGGGCGGCGCCGAGGUGCGGAGUGCGCGAACGCGGGUAUGCAGCGUGGCUAGGUUACGCGGGUUGCCCGCAUAACGUCGCGAAGAAGAUGCAGGUUAGAUGCCUUGUCUUUGCGGGCUUGCAGCACGAGCUGGCCCAGCGGGCUAGCAGCUCAACCCGUGCUGCUUGAAACUGUACCAUGAGUUGACUGCAAUUCACACUAUACAACAAAUGUCCUUUUACGAACCAUCAUAUAUGUAUCAACUUUAGAGACAGUCAUUUCCUUCUAUCUGAUUCAUGUUGGCAAAAGCAAGCGUUUUUAUGUAUUUUUAACAUUGUCCAUUUGUCUAAAAACAUGAAGUUUCUUUUAUUUUGCUUGGGCGUCUGAAUUAUGUGUUAUUCCAAGCUGUCUAUGGCAUCUAUGAUUUUGGAAGAUAUCGCUAACUCAUAGAUGCAAACACUUCAAACCAUGCAUAUUAGCUAAUGAUAUUUAGUUGACUAUGAGGCCAUAACUUCAAAAGAUUUCACCUCCAAGCUAGUUAUCUUUCCAAUUUCGAAGAAAUUGCUAUGAUAAACCAUGAGAAACUCAUAAAACUCUGAUGACAAAUUGUUAUAGUAUGGUUGUCUAAAACGACAGCAGGUCCCUCUCAAAAGAGUCAAAAAGGUAGAAAACGCCCAGUGAAAGUCAAGCCUUCAACGUAGGAACGAACCACAUAGAUUUAAAUGUUUAGUGGCAAUAUGGUUCUUAAGAAAAAUCAUAAACACAUCAAGAACCCGACAGAGCAGUUGCACAAGGGCUAAAACAAGAGCUUUUGUUUACAUCAAGUAGCAAAUCCAUCGCUGUCACCAAAGCAAACUCCAUGGGGCAAAUAAAAAAUUGCCUUUCAGCUCUUUGGUCAGUCCACGGUCAGUCAGUCGUUUCAAACGUGGUCCAGAAGUCUGAUAAUCAAUGGCAAUAGGUGUUUCUCUGUGCUGUCCCAGAAACUCCCCUUGGAAUUAUUGUAUAUCUAAGCAACGUCAAUACAGUAAAAGACCUCCAGAAGAAGUAGGUGAAGCCCACGCGGACCAAAAGACUAAUGGUCAUAACACCAUCAGUUCACAUUAGAAAUUGCAACUUGCCUAUCGAAUUGCAUCAAAGCAUGCUAACUGCUCUGAAUCUUUCUUUUAGUACUUGACUUGCUACAGAGCCAGUAAUUUGGGGUGUCAUUUCAAGUCAAACGUCAAGUCUAGAGGGUUAGUGAAUUUCUUUCACACUCCGACGAAAGUGCCUUGCCGUUUGAUACAAAAUUCGAAACUAAGUGUUCGACACAAAAUGCUCUGGAAACUUUGCAUGAUUCUAAAUCAAUCAUGGUCCCCCAUCCUCACCACACACACACACAAACUUUUCAAAAAAUUUCACAUCUCAAAUUUACAUCGAGUCGUGUUACUAAUUGAUGCCACACCAUGCGGACAUGAACCUCUGAUACCUAUGCUCUCCAACUACCUGCCUGGUCUGCUGAUCAUGCAGUGGUCACUGAAAAAGACACGGUUCGGACUUUGGAGUGCUCCCAGUAGGGUAGUACAUAUAUGUGCAAAUAAACCAGAUUUUGGAGACGGUAAAAAAUCAUCCAAAAAAUACUUUUAAGUGUAUACGGGGUGAAAUGCGAAUGCUGAAUCCGCCAGAAUGCGGAUCUGAACAAAGAGCACAACACACAGAGUGAAAUUUCUGCCACAUCGAACAAUCUGCCAGUGCUCAAGUCGUCGUUCCUUUUGCAAAAGCUGUAGCUUCAUCUGCACGUGUUUCCCGGGACUUGAUCAGACGAACGUCGUCGUCGUUCCAUCGUCACCGUCUAGUUUUCUUUGGCUCAAGUCGUCUCUGAUUUCCCCAUCCUUUCCCACCAAGUGACACUGCAGCUUCCGCACGCGCUCCACCGCUUCACCCGCCUAUAAGAAGUCCGUAAGCGCCCCGGCACAGCACCAACUCGCCAGGUCUACUCCUCACUUAACCAGCCAUUUCCAGUCUUCACCGCCAUCAGCCGUCUUGAGUCAGCACCGCAGCAGCCUAUCUAGCUCAACUGUACGUACCAAUCAUGGAGCUUCCGCCAUGGGCGUCUUUCCUCGGCGUGGUGCUCGCCACCGUGAUGCUUCUCAAGGCCAUCGUCUGCCGCCACCGCCGCCGCCGCGCGUACAACCUCCCGCCGGGGCCCAAGCCGUGGCCGAUCAUCGGCAACCUGGACCUGAUGGGCGCGCUCCCGCACCGCUCCAUCCACGAGCUGUCCAGGAAGUACGGACCGCUGAUGCAGCUCCAGUUCGGGUCGUUCCCCGUGGUGGUCGGCUCGUCGGUGGACAUGGCCAAGUUCUUCCUCAAGACCCACGACGUGGUGUUCACUGACCGGCCCAAGACCGCCGCCGGCAAGUACACCACCUACAACUACCGCGACAUCACCUGGUCCCCCUACGGCGCCUACUGGCGGCAGGCGCGCAAGAUGUGCCUCACCGAGCUCUUCAGCGCCAAGCGCCUCGAGUCGUACGAGUACAUCCGCGCCGCCGAGGUGCGCGCGCUGCUGCGCGACCUGCACGCCGUCUCCGGCUCCGGCCGCGCCGUCAUGCUCAAGGACUACCUGUCCACGGUGAGCCUGAACGUGAUCACCCGCAUGGUGCUCGGCAAGAAGUACCUGGACAAGGAGGUGGCUGCCGGUGGGUCUUCCGUGACCACCCCCGAGGAGUUCAAGUGGAUGCUCGACGAGCUGUUCCUGCUCAACGGCGU
rnacentral:lncRNA from 1 species